rnacentral:rRNA from 1 species
AUUGAACGCUGGCGGCAGGCUUAACACAUGCAAGUCGAGCGGAGCGGCGGACGGGUGAGUAACGCCUAGGAAACUGCCUGGAAGUGGGGGAUAACGUUCGGAAACGGGAGGUAAUAACGCAUACUAUCAGAUGAGCCUAGGUCGGUCUAGUUAGGUGGUGGGGUAAAGGACUACCCAGGCGACGAUCCGUAACUGGUCUGAGAGGAUGAUCAGUCAGACUGGAAGUGUGACACGGUCCAGACGCCUACGGACGGCGGCAGUAGGGAAUAGUGGGCAAUGGGCGGAAGACUGUUGCAGCCAGGCCGCGAGUGUGAAUAAGGUCUUCGGAUUGUAAAGCACUUUUAGUUGGGAGGCGUUACCAACAGAAUAAGCACCGGCUAACUUCGUGCCAGCAGCCGCGGUAAUUC